rnacentral:rRNA from 1 species
UUGAGGCGUAUAAGAUGCCUGAUCGGAAGGGCCCUUUAGUACGAGAGGAACGAGGGCUCGGGGCCACUAGUUUACCAGUUGUCCGGCAGGGCAAUGCUGGGUAGCCACGCCCUACGUGGAUAAGAGCUGAAAGCAUCUAAGCUCGAAGUCAUCCGAAAGACGAGGCAUCUCAGGGGACUCGUAGAAGACGAGUUUGAUAGACAGCGGGUGUAAGCACCGAGGUUCGCCGAGGUGUUCAGCCCAGCUGUACUAACCCCCCGAGCAUCCAAAUUU